GACGCAUGCCGUAAUUUCUGGCCUCCAAGCCGCGACUUUUUACACACGCUUUCAACCCUGCGGCUAAUCCGGUGAUGCGGCUAAUAUGUCCAUUUUUUCCCCUAACGGCCGCAAGGGGGCGCUCGAGCGGAAAAGGUAAGGAUGAGGAAGUGACUUUUGCCGGCCCUGUUAGCGCUGCGCUACCGUUAGCGCCGCGGUAGCAUGUUGCUGCUGUGUUACUGACAUAUCUCAGUGAUAUUUACCGAGUGCUGGAGCCUAUCCCAGCUGUCAUGAGGCAGGAGGCGGGGUACACCUUCAACUGGUUGCCGGCCAAUCGCAGGGCACAUGGAGAAAGUGAUUGGCUGGCGACCAUUUGAGGGUGCACCCCGCCUCCUGCCCGAAGAUAGCUGGGAUAGCACACCCCGUGACCCUUGUGUGGAUAAGUGGCUCCCAAAAUGGAUGGAUGGUUUGAGACUACCGCAGAAUCCGACCUGACCGAUAAGAAUUACACUUUGCGUGAUUCAAAUGCAAUUAGUUACUCCCGAAUUUGGAGGAUGUUGUA